GUGUUGAGUAAAGUGAUUUAUCUAGUAUUGCCUUUCUCAUUUGUAUCCAAUACUUGUUUCUGAUAAGGGAAUGAAACUGAAGUUUGGGUCUGUGCUCUUUAAUCUCUUGCUCAGGAGAGAUUAAAGCAUCAUGGAGUGUGAUGGGCUCCCUCUCUGAAGUGAAGGAAUCAGCUGCUCUGUAUUGUGGCCCUUCGUUGCCUGCAGUCUAACCAGCAAUGUAGGCCUCUUUUUUUUUCUUCUAGACUGAUAACUAGUAGGAUAUGUUUUCAAACAAAAAGUGAACUGUAUGAAGUUUAUACUUAUGCUUUUUGGUAAGCUUUGGUUUUAGCUUUAUUUCUGUACUGGUAUAAUGUGUUAAAAGCUGGGCGUGAUUGCUGAUAUUUUAUGGUAGAAUAGAAUAUUUGUUACCUGGUGACAUUAUUACAAUAUUAUAGUGCUGGAAAAAAUUCGGUGUUAAAAUACAUUCCCCAUGUUCCUUUAAGCUGUAAAUUAUAAAGCUGGUUAUUUAAAUGUAUUUUUUCUUUCCAUUAGUCAGUGCCAAUGGUGGGUGAUGGAGAGAAUCUCUUGCUAAUGUCCAAGUAUUUUAAAAUCCUAGAUUAUUUUGCUGCCGUUAUAGUUGUACUGUAACUUACUCCAAAUGCCAAACCUUAAAUACUUAUUUGACUCAUUGACUCCCCCUUCGUUGAGUGUGUUCUUUACUGUGAUCAGAGAAUUGUAGAAAGGGUUGCAAUAUAGCAGUAUUUCCUAUAUUGCUCACAGAGAAGUUCAGUUGUUUUCCCUACUCAGGGCCUAUAUUUUGUACUGAAAUGCUUAGAGGAAACUAAGGCCUCUUAGGGUUCAGAUUUCUCAUUGGGGUUUUAAUAGGACUGCAAAAGGCCAUUUCCAGAGUAAUGACUGUCUGGCGAUACCAAAGCAGUAUUCAUAUUAGUUAUUUCCCUCCUAUGAUCAUUUUAGAUAAGAGUUUUGCCUGUUUAAAUAUUUCUAGAGAUACCAGGCUACUCUCGCAUGCUUAAUUGAGCAUGCGGUUAAGUGCUUUGCUGGAUCAGGGCCACACUGUGUAACAAAUGCACAAGUGCACCUUCUAAGAACUUUUAAGUACCAGACUGCUACCACAGCUAUCACAAUCACAGUUAUACCUGUUUGUGACUCAUGCAUCUGUUGGCAUUGAACUUCAUUUUAAGUGCGGGGGACUCCCGGAUUUCCUUCUCCUGAGCUAUGGAAGGAGUUUAAUGUUUCUUUACAUGGCUAUUUAUUCUAUCAAUUAAAUUCACUGGUGUGUGUGUGUGUGUGUAUGUGUAUAAUCUGUUGUACUUGCAAACAUAAUGAAAAUA